rnacentral:rRNA from 1 species
AUUGAACGCUGGCGGCAUGCCUUACACAUGCAAGUCGAACGGUAACAGGUUAAGCUGACGAGUGGCGAACGGGUGAGUAAUGUAUCGGAACGUGCCCAGUCGUGGGGGAUAAUUGCUCGAAAGAGCAGCUAAUACGGAAUACGACCGGAGGGGGAAGGGGGGGGUUGGAAGGGCUUGGGCGAUUUGAGGGGGCGAUAUCAGAUUAGGUAGUUGGUGAGGUAAAGGCUCACCAAGCCGACGAUCUGUAGCUGGUCUGAGAGGACGACCAGCCACACUGGGACUGAGACACGGCCCAGACUCCUACGGGAGGCAGCAGUGGGGAAUUUUGGACAAUGGGCGCAAGCCUGAUCCAGCCAUGCCGCGUGCGGGAAGAAGGCCUUCGGGUUGUAAACCGCUUUUGUCAGGGAAGAAAAGGUUCUGGCUAAUACCUGGGACUCAUGACGGUACCUGAAGAAUAAGCACCGGCUAACUACGUG